GGCGGGGGAAGAGAAGGAACGGUGUGACUGUGCCCCAGUGAAAACUGAAACUACCCCGUAGGGGCUGCCUGGUGGAAACUUGAGUCAUGGAAGCACUCAACAAAAGCCGGAGACUGGAGCGAUGCAGAGAGAGCAUACGGAACAGCACAUACCCAGCUCGGACACUUUAAUUUAAUCCGGUCCAUCUCCUUCCUUUCAGAGAUAAGGUGACAAAGGCCCAGUGAAGGAAGAGGGAGAGCAUCAGGAGCCUUAUCUGGUUAUGCUGUAUCCCCUGCUUGGGGCCCUGUCCUUCUAAAAAACCAGGCUAAGUCUCAAGAAAGGACAGCUCUUUUUGAGUUGGAUUGA